ensembl:snoRNA
AGCAUUCUUCUACUGAGCUACACACUCAACCCCUGUGCUCUUAUACUGUAUAUAAAGAGGAAGCAAAGUAUACUUCACCCUAGGCUCUGUGCCUGGUCUGUAUUGUGAAUGGGGAGACAAGG